rnacentral:rRNA from 1 species
UACGUAGGGUGCAAGCGUUAAUCGGAAUUACUGGGCGUAAAGCGUGCGCAGGCGGUUGUGCAAGACAGGUGUGAAAUCCCCGGGCUUAACCUGGGAACUGCACUUGUGACUGCACAGCUGGAGUGCGGCAGAGGGGGAUGGAAUUCCGCGUGUAGCAGUGAAAUGCGUAGAGAUGUGGAGGAAUACCGAUGGCGAAGGCAGCCCCCUGGGCCAAUACUGACGCUCAUGCACGAAAGCGUGGGGAGCAAACAGG